rnacentral:rRNA from 1 species
UACGAACUGUGCGAACGUUAUUCGGAAUCACUGGUCUUACAGGGUGCGUAGGCGGCUAUUCAGGUCAGGUGUGAAAGCCCCCGGCUCAACCGGGGAACUGCGCUUGAAACCGAGUGGCUCGAGUCAGCUAGAGGUACACGGAACUUCCAGUGGAGCGGUGAAAUGUGUUGAUAUUGGAAGGAACACCGGAGGCGAAAGCGGUGUACUGGGGCUGGUCUGACGCUGAGGCACGAAAGCCAGGGGAGCGAACGGG